UGUUGAUGGCUGUUGACUGAUCAGGG
rnacentral:piRNA from 1 species